GCGGGGGUAGCCAAGUCAGGUCAAAGGCGCCAGUCGCAAAAUCUGGCCUCGAAGGAGUUCGGGGGUUCGAAUCCCCUCCCCCGCA
rnacentral:tRNA from 1 species